rnacentral:rRNA from 1 species
GUAGUUAGCCGUGGCUUCCUCCUUAGGUACCGUCAUUAUCGUCCCUAAAGACAGAGCUUUACAAUCCGAAGACCGUCAUCACUCACGCGGCGUUGCUGGGUCAGGCUUGCGCCCAUUGCCCAAUAUUCCCCACUGCUGCCUCCCGUAGGAGUCUGGACCGUGUCUCAGUUCCAGUGUGGCCGAUCAGCCUCUCAGCUCGGCUACCCAUCGUUGGCUAGGUGGGCCGUUACCCCGCCUACUACCUAAUGGGACGCGAACCCCUCCUUCUGCGGAUUGCUCCUUUGACCCCUGAGCCAUGCGACUCUGUGGUCUUAUGCGGUAUUAGCACUUGUUUCCAGGUGUUAUCCCCCUCAAAAGGGCAGGUUGUUCACGCGUUACUCACCCGUUCGCCACUAGCUAUAAAUCCGAAAACCUAUAGCCCGUUCGACUUGCAUGUGUUAGGCACGCCGCCAGCGUUCGUCCUGAGCCAGGAUCAAACUCUGA